AUCCAUCUCCGGGGUGAAGACAAAGAUCUGGAAGCUCUGGAGUCUUCCUAGGACGACGUGGGCUGUGAGAUAGCUGACGGAACUAGAGAGGCCUGGACCUGCGAACGUGGGAGAAAGUGCUCCCCUGACCUCUGAAGGAGGGAGGUACGUCCCAGCCACAGCAGAGUGGCCUGCCUACAGCCUGCUCCGCACAUACUACUGUACCCGACUCAAGGUGACGGCCUGACAUCUGAAACAGCAGCUCCRCAGCACCUGAUCUCCAGCCUGGUUAUUUUGAUGUCUAACUCCUGGCACCCAAGGACAGAAGGCUGAAUUCCACAUUUAGCACCAGAGAUAUAUCUGUAUCAUGAAAAUAAAACCCUCACACUGCACA
rnacentral:lncRNA from 1 species